UCCAUCAUAUACGCCUGGCUCUCCUAGCUACAGCCCAACAAGUCCGUCGUACUCCCCAACAAGUCCAUCGUACUCUCCAACCAGUCCGUCAUACUCCCCCACAUCUCCAAGCUACAGUCCCACAUCGCCAAGCUACAGUCCCACAUCACCAAGUUAUAGUCCCACUUCUCCGAGCUACAGUCCCACAUCGCCAGUUUAUAGUCCGACCUCUCCAGCAUACAGCCCAACAUCUCCUGCAUACAGCCCGACAUCUCCAUCAUACAGCCCGACAUCGCCAUCAUACAGCCCUACUUCACCUUCAUACAGCCCUACCUCUCCAUCUUACAGCCCUACGUCUCCAUCAUACAGCCCUACGUCUCCUUCAUACAGCCCUACGUCUCCAUCAUACAGCCCGACAUCGCCCUCGUACAGCCCGACAUCGCCUGCAUACAGCCCGACAUCGCCUGGAUACAGCCCAACAUCGCCGAGCUACAGCCCUACUUCGCCAAACUACAGUCCAACUUCACCGAGCUACAAUCCUUCUUCGGCCAAGUACAGCCCUUCACAUGCUUAUUCUCCAAGCAGCCCAAGGAUGAUGAGCCCAUACAGUCAGACUUCUCCAAACUACAGGUACUGACCGUGACCUGGCACUCCUCUGGUAUUCUGUUCAUUGCUCGCUAUACUUAUUUUGCUUACAUCUGUUUCCCCAGCCCAACAUCACCGACUUACUCGCCCACCUCGCCGUCGUAUGCACAACCAAGUCCGUCAUACAGCCCGACAAGGUGAGCCUGUCUUAAUUCAUCAUCAUUCAGAAGGAACACCUCGCUGUCGAUGAUGUGACACAUUUAGAUCUUCUGUUCUAACACACUUGCAUGACUUGUGCAGCCCGCACACAACCUCUGGUGGACCUAGCCCGGAUUAUAGCCCAACCUCUCCAAACUACAGGUAAAUGGAUCAGGCUUUAUGUAAUCUGCCCACGAUGAAAGUGCAUUUGGCGUUUAUGACAAUCUCAAUUUCUACUGUUCAGCCCCAGCGCUAGCUAUUCCCCCACUGCACCGGGCUACUCCCCUUCGUCCACUGGACCGCAAACUACUGACAAGGACGACGACGAGAAUGCGCCUUGAAGUCCCUGACCUGAUGGAGCAUGCUGCGCUAAUGAGGAACUGCGCUGCACUACCUUUUUUGUUCUGUGUUUUUUAUGGUUAUGGAACUGCAGAGCCCUGCCUUGUCUGCCUGAGCAUCGGGAGUUAUUAUGUACUCAUUGUGUGCUAAAAUAGCAUGAUUAGUCCCAUAGGAACCGAACUUUGCCAGCUCGUGAGCUGCUCCUAGUCCUGUGACGCUACAACGCCGCUUAGCGGCGUCCAUAGCAGCUGUUUGAAAUAAACAAGUUGCUGAUCUCGGUCCUAUUGUUAUGCUAAAUGCUGUUGUUCAAAGCAAGUCUUUUCAUUGCAGCUAGGGUGCUCCUUUUUCUGUCGUUCAAUCAAUGCAAUGGUUUGGAAAGGACCUGUUUGAUUCGGAUAAAUAUUAGAAAAGAGUUCUCGCAAUCGCAAGGUCUCAAUUUUCGUUGCGGGUCAUAAUCUCGCCUCUUAGGUUGAUCCCGCUCGUUUUCGUAUCCUUUGAUGUUACUCCCUCCGUAUAAUAAUACGGGCACGAGCCAGUCUAUUUAUGUUCCUCAACCUUUGUUCUAGUCCUGUGUGUAUCAAAAUGGCCCAGCCCAGAGUUGUAGGCUAGUGCAAAUAAUCUCCGGAACGAAAUUACGCGUGAACGGUUGCGGGCGCCACAUCAAGGAGGCGAGUGUAUGGCCGACGAUGAGCCUCGUAACCGGCCUGUGGCGCAUGCCUGUAGGUCCUGUCCUCUGUUGCCAGCAACUUAUCCAUGGCCAAGUGCUUUCGUUCUACUCAUCCUAUUCCUACCUGGUUCCUUUCCCACGUCGUCGGCUUCUCCUUCUACACCCACAUACUCCUUCCUUAAACCCACUGCUCCGAAUUUUCGCUUCCUGAUCUGGUUAAUUCCAUACUUGUAGCUUGAAUAUUUCAACUUUUGCCUCGAAGGUUUUGAACAUAGUUUUCACAAUUUUAAAAUAGCAAAAUGUUACUGUAACUAUUACUUACUCCAUUUCUUUUUGUAACAUGUUCCGUCUUUGUUCUAAAAGUCAAACUUCUAAAAGUCGACCAAGUUUAUAGAAGAACUACCAACAUCCAUAAGUGUAAUCAGGAUUCAUGCAGUUGGAAAAACUAAUCAAAUUAGAUUUCUUGACGUGUUUAUCCAUUGUUUGCGCUAGAUUACCUUGACACGUUUAGUUUAGCCAUUGUUAUCGUGCUCCCCGUCAUGUCUUUGAAAGUUUUGCCAAACUUUGCAGAAAACUGGAAAAGACGGUAGACGGAUCGCAGCCACAGACUGAAAUAUUUGUAGGAGACUGAUAUUGUGUUCUCUUCUCAACAAAGUCAAACACUCCUCAGAUGCACACUAAAGUUGCAAUACUCCUGUUCACCAAGGGUGGCAGAGAAGGUGUAUAGCUACAAUAAACCAAAAGAGACUUUGGGAACAACAUGCAUUUGCGUAGUAUACGUGCAUAUGCUUCUCACAUGCCCGGGAAAGUGAGAUCCAGCUUUAGCACCACCACUAACCAGAAGAUUUCCAGGUAGUGUGUGUGCAUAUCACUUGACCAACCGCCAAUCAGCUGCUAGCCACAAGCUCUGUCCAACCUUAAGAACCUGCCCCCAGCUCUCACACGUGUCAGCAACCCACGGGACCGAACUCCACCCCGUGCGAACGUGGCAUGACAAGUCAGACAUGGCGCUGACUUGGCACCCACACCGGCCAGUGCGGUAUUGACAAGUCGGCACUGAAGAAGCAAUUGGGGGAUGAUGUGCAAUUAAUUAGUUUAUCAUCAUCUCAGAGAGAAGAGGAGAAAGAAAAAAAGGAAAAGAAAUGUUAAUCAUCAUUGUCAUUAUCAAGGAUUAGUGGAUCAGGGGGUCAUGUUGUCUGGGAUCUAUCUUUGGGAUGUUAGCUUGUGGUGCAGGGAACGAUGGAUGUAUAUGCUCUUGCUUGCCCCUGUUGUGAUAUGUCGGCCUUGAUCCGCGUCUCUGAUUGGCUGCUAAUUUUAGGAGCAACAUUUCUCCUCUCCUUCUCUCUGCUCCACUACUGACUACUUGAUCUUGUCAUUCAACUCACAGGCAUCUUUGGAGAAAAUGACAGCUUUUUUCGCAGUUGCAUAUGUUUUGUUUGAUCGAUUGGCAGGAUGUCUUGAGUUGAUAUGUUCACUUGUCAGGUGUGUUAAUGCCUAUUGCUUAGCGUAAUUGCAAUAAAUUGUUUCGUGGCAUGGUUAAAUAAAUUUCAUAUAAGACAUUUCACGUGUCUGGUUCCCUCUGCACCGCAUGAUUUUCACCGAAAUCCUGCGAAUUUUUUGUAAUUUUUGGAGGAUUUUUGUUAAAUUCUGUCCCAUAUCCAGUAUAUGGGAUUUUUGUAAUUUGUGCUAAGUUCUGUCCCGAUUCCAGGAAAGCUUGUUUUGAAUGAUUUACUAAAACUCUGGCCUGGUCUAGGCUCAACAAGCAAAAACAAGCAUACCACAUCUCACUACUCAAUAAUCGCAAAAUUAUGGAUGCGUGCAUCAAUACAGAGGCCACGGGAGAGGUCCUUCUUUUUAGAAAAAAGGAAUCACAGAAUAAGAAAACAUAUAUUUAGCUAGGUCUUCAAUUCUUGAAGUCCAAUCCUUGUAUUAAUUAAUUAUCUGAGUUUCAGCGCCCGGAGAAGACUUUAGCUGGUGAGGAAUUGCAAGCAAUUUUAGCAAGCAAAUCUGUUCUAUUCAAUCUAGCAGCAUGGGCAUUGUUGUUGUUGUAAUUAUAUUCUCUUUAUUUGUUGCAAAAAAGGCUAGCCAUUCAUCUUCAACCCACUGGGGAGCCCACAUAAUCUCAUAAGCACAUUACAUUAUUUUCAUGCUUUGACCCCAUCCCUAUCAGCAUGUCUGUAUUAUAAUUCCUUGAAGAAAAGAACCUAGUAGUAACAUGCAUUUGUAACACUUCACUAUCUUUGAAAGUAAUAAAACAUUUCUGGUUUGACUUAUCCCCAUCGCUUAGUCACUCCAUUAUUGGGAUCAUGUCAUGUGCAUCUGCACCUCAACAUCACCACUCUCAGACUACAAUUUUGAGAUUAAAAUCUAUACAGAAGCUGGAUUCAGAUUUGUAAACUGAAUUGACUAUGCAUUAUAAAAUUAAAUAAAUCGAGUUUCUUUUUCUUAAAAACGGUAAUAUGAAAUAUGCUUGAGAAUAAAUUCAAAGAUCACAAGUUUCUUUUUGGGCUCCACCAUGUAAUCUGGUACUCCCUCCGAUCCAUAAAAAUGGUCGCCCACUCAGUACUAAGUUAGUACCUUUUUAUGGAAUCGGAGGGAGUAUCACAUUGUAUAUUUACAUGAUCAAACAAAUUAAAGAAAUAGAAUUAAUUUAUUGUCAUGUGCAUUGUCCAGUAUUGUUGACCGACAUGAUCAUCUAGAAAGCUGAACCAUUGGUACACAAGCAAACAAAUGAAGAUGGGGAAAAAGGUAUAGACAAUACUGUAUUAGAUAACGGCAAUUACUGCUUGAUAAGAGAGUUCCCUCCAAGAUUGUCUGUAACACAGCAUAUCAUAAGAAUGACUGAAUAGACACCAUUGUUAAUAAAUGCCAUCAGUGAAAGGCUUCUUCAUCACCGAGCAUUUCCAAGAUGAUUCAUUGUCCUAUGUUAGCUCUUCUGUGAUAUAUCAUUUCAAGGUGAAAAGGAGUCAAAUUUGCAAUGGUUUGGUUCUGGAAUAUAUCCAAGUUCUGAGUGCAGCUAUGUGACCUGUCGUUUUGCAGUUUAGCUAUGAAAGACUUUUGAUUUGGCAAAAGUGUUUUGCUUUGGCAGCUACUGCAAGUAGCAAAUACAACAUGAAUAUCCAACGGAGAAUUCCAUUCCAAGUCUAUAACCAGUCGCGAGGCAAAUACAUGCCGUGUCGCUUUGAGAUUUGUGCAAUUUAGUUUUCAGAAGUGUACCGACACACCGUGGCAACCAGUUCUUCCGAGAAAGGCAAAAUAGCUAUCAGGAGCCCAUACUCCUGGUAUGAAAAGUAAAAUCAUAAAAGAAAUGAAAAUGUAAAAAAAAAAUCAUGCGUAUAAGUGCUCAUGUCUUCUAAGACCCUCCAAAUUUUCAGGAAACAAAGCAUUUUUGUGUCCUAAACAAGGAAAACAAAAUUUAGUAGUACUAAAACUAAGCAAAAUUUUGAUCACAAACUUUUGUCAUUUUUACACAGGGUGCAAAAUUUAUCCUUUUACACGGAAUUUCACAAGUCGACAUAAGACAUGCACAUUUUUACGAGUGAAUUCCUUUCAGAACUUUUGACAUUAAAAAGACAUACAUCUGGGAGCACGCACUCUGGGGGGCACCUGUGAAUUUCCAUGUUCUUAUCCUGUGGAAUUGCACAUUAGCCGACAGUGUUAAACCUUAAGAGACCUUCAGAUGUUUCAUGCUUCUGGUAGUGGUUAGAACAAAUUGUAUCAUGGAUAGAAUGCAGCCAUACAGUAGUCUUUUAUUGACACUGGCAAAAAAGGGUUGCAACCAAUCCUCGUAGGAACAACAGCAGACAAAGUUUGACAUUAUUGUGGGACUAGCCCAGACAUGAAAUCUGGGCAACAGAAAUGCUCCACUCUCCCCUCGCAAAAAAAGAAAGAAAUGCACCACUUUCUUUCCCUCUCUCUCUCUCCCUCUCUCUCUCUCAUCCAUUAUACAUCCAAAAUGUGAGAGACAACAGUGUCCUACCACUGAAGUCUCUUCUGCUGUUCCGCAACUGUCCCUUGAUAGAAAACUCUACUUGUUUUUGGUGAUCUGUAGCACACUAGGGUAGGAUCUGGUUGAUCACCUUGUACAACACAACAAUAUGCGAAUGGUACUUUAAAUAUGGUGGUUGCAACGCAGCUACACUAGGGUAGGAAGUGGUUUUAGUACGUCCAACCUCCCCAGUGCCCGACAUCGGUACCGUCCAUCUGCAUUGGGAUUCUAACGUUUUUUCUGCUUUUAGUUCUUUCUAAAAUGUUGUGAGAAAGCGUAAAGUAUUCUUUCUCUUACAUGCUUAUGACACCAUCUGUCCAAAUUCUGGAUUCUUGCCUCAUCGAGCAUGUUGUUUUGUUCGAGCCACAUGAAAAAUUAAAACCAAUGUUUUUCUUGUCUGGGCCAUGGGCCACUAGCCUAGGGCUUUGAAUCCCGUGGCACAUGGGUGGCCUAUUUAGGAAAUAUGGUGGGGUUGGAACCGAACAGGGCAUGAAAAAAAAAGACCAAAGCAGUAGUCCAUGCAUGGUGCGUGUGCGUGUCCGAUGACGCAGCCCGCAAUACUUUUAGGAAGAAAAACAACCGAUUCACGUGUCAACAAGGGAAUCCAAAUGCUGCGCAUGUGAGCUUGACCAGCACCCAGGCCCACAUCGACAAGGCUUGAGGACCACCCCAGUCAUCUUCUCCUUUUUGCAUGCAUCAAGAGAUAAUUUUGGUUUCAAAUCCCUUCAUUCUUGUAACCAAUGGACAAAAAUAUCCAACAUUUGCUAGCAGUUGCUCAAGAUUUUUUUUUGCUAGCGUUGCUUUCUAAAGAAAACAAAGUAACCAUGACCUUUUGUCCAGUCAAUUGAAUAUUCUUAUUACCCAAUGAACAACAACCUUCACAUGCU
rnacentral:lncRNA from 1 species